UAAACUUGUAUGGUAUCUGCAACCAGCAGUAUUUUCUUAAUGGUGUUGAAAAAGCAGUGCUACAGUGAGUCAGCGGCUGGCAUAGUUGAUUUUUUUCAUGCAGAUGUACUGGUUAAACUUGGUAUUUCUGUUGAAACAAGU
ensembl:snoRNA